rnacentral:lncRNA from 1 species
UGAGUUAUCACUAGUCAUCAUCCGUAGCUAUGCAACAGUCCUGUAUCCUGAGUAAAUGGAGACACUGAUGACAUUAGCAGGUUAUGUAUCUGUUAUUACCAGGCCAUCAAAACAUAAUUUUCAAUGGCAGCCUGCUAUUCUAAAAACAAUUAGAGAUUUAAGAAUUUUGAGUUGAAUUUGAGAUUGUGUGAAUAUGUUUUUUUACAUGGCUGCAUCAUCUUCCUUUUAUAUGUAUAAACAUAUAUAUUAUGUAUAUCUGUUCCUGUUUAUUUCUCCAUAUAUUGUCCUAACUUCAUUAUCUGCAGCUGUUCCUUGACAGUGUGUUUUACCACCACAGGCUGUUUCCAUCUACUCCACCCUUUCUCAUUCCUUCAUUUUGUUUUUGUCUUAUUCAUUUUCUUUGUUUUUCUUUUGCAUACUAUUACUCUGUCUUGUAUGUCCUGGAAUGCUUCACUUCUGUCUGCAGAAAUAACUACUCAGUGCUUAUGCAAUCUCGUGCCAAUGGAGAGGCCAUAUGCCACCGCGUGACAGCAAGUGUGCUCUUUGAAUAUCGGCCCACUGGAAGUGCACUGCAGGUAUCAGUAAGUGCUUGUUCCUUGACUGUUGUCCCAAGGAUCUGUUUUGGACCAGGCGACCUCCAGAGGUGCCUUACAACCUCAGCCAUCCUGUGGUCUUGAGAAAAAAGCACCAGAAGUGGAUUGUGAAACUAUUGCUGAUACAAUCGGUUCAGACAGUGGCCUGACAGUGAAGGCUCUCUGGAAGAGAGAGUAGCUGAGAGAAGGCUAAGCAUCAAGUGAAUUCUUGCUCAUUAGCAAUGCAUGAGUAUCACCCUUUUCAAGAACCUAUAAAAAGCAGCUAUCUCACAUUGCAUAGGUAAAAGAAAAAAAUCUGUUGCUUAUCAGUGAAAGUCAGUCUUAUGACAGAUCUUAAAUAUUUGUAAAUAUUAGGUGUUUGGAAUAUUAAUAUUCUUGAAAUAUACCACACCUGUUUAAACUACUAUGAGAAAUAUCUGGUACAGGAUAUGUAAUCAGGCAAUCAUGGACAUAGUAAUAAUUAUUAACAAAUGUGAAGGACAGGUUAAGUUGCCCUUCUGAGGGAGGGAUAAGUGAUCUUUGCAAAUACAUUACAUGUCCAAGCUGUCAUCAUGAAGAAUUAUAGGUCACAGCCAAAAGAAUAUAAAUUUCUUCAUAUUUACAGGGUUUGGCACACUGGCAACUUAGAUUGUAUUUAUGACAUACUUUUUAAAGUUCUUGAAAUAAAUAUGAAUACUGCAAAGAAUUGUGAUUUAUC